GCCCUAGUUGGUUAAUGGUAAAUCACCCACUCAAUGUAUUGCAGGCAGGAAGACUUCAAUGGGAAACGGAGGUUUGAAUCCUCCCGAGGGCA